rnacentral:rRNA from 1 species
GACGAAACGUGCGAACGUUGUUCGGAUUCACUGGGCUUAAAGGGCGCGUAGGCGGGCGAGCGAGUCCGGGGUGAAAUCUUUCGGCUUAACCGGAAAAGGGCCUCGGAUACCGGUCGUCUCGAGGGAGGUAGGGGCAGCUGGAACUUCCGGUGGAGCGGUGAAAUGCGUUGAUAUCGGAAGGAACGCCGGUGGCGAAAGCGAGCUGCUGGACCUCAUCUGACGCUGAGGCGCGAAAGCCAGGGGAGCGAACGGG